rnacentral:rRNA from 15 species
AGACCCGAAACCCGGUGAUCUAGCCAUGGGCAGGUUGAAGGUUGGGUAACACUAACUGGAGGACCGAACCGACUAAUGUUGAAAAAUUAGCGGAUGACCUGUGGCUGGGGGUGAAAGGCCAAUCAAACCGGGAGAUAGCUGGUUCUCCCCGAAAGCUAUUUAGGUAGCGCCUCGUGAAUUCAUCUCCGGGGGUAGAGCACUGUUUCGGCUAGGGGGCCAUCCCGGCUUACCAACCCGAUGCAAACUGCGAAUACCGGAGAAUGUUAUCACGGGAGACACACGGCGGGUGCUAACGUCCGUCGUGAAGAGGGAAACAACCCAGACCGCCAGCUAAGGUCCCAAAGUCAUGGUUAAGUGGGAAACGAUGUGGGAAGGCCCAGACAGCCAGGAUGUUGGCUUAGAAGCAGCCAUCAUUUAAAGAAAGCGUAAUAGCUCACUGGUCGAGUCGGCCUGCGCGGAAGAUGUAACGGGGCUAAACCAUGCACCGAAGCUGCGGCAGCGACACUGUGUGUUGUUGGGUAGGGGAGCGUUCUGUAAGCCUGUGAAGGUGUGUCGUGAGGC